rnacentral:rRNA from 1 species
AACGUAGGGGGCGAGCGUUGUCCGGAAUUACUGGGCGUAAAGGGCGUGUAGGCGGCUCAAGAAGUCAGGGGUGAAAUACCGCAGCUCAACUGCGGGGCGGCCUCUGAAACCAUUGGGCUUGAGGGCAGGAGAGGGGAGUGGAAUUCCCGGUGGAGCGGUGAAAUGCGUAGAUAUCGGGAGGAACACCAGUGGCGAAGGCGGCUCCCUGGCCUGGCCCUGACGCUGAGGCGCGAAAGCGUGGGGAGCAAACAGG